UUUUUUCUUAACCAGCUACAAAUGACAAGAAAGGUUUUCAGGAGGCUAUGGUUUUAACUUCGAAUCAUCUCAAAGUACAUCUAUUUUUCAGGCCCUGAUCUCUAGAAUUGAUACUUUUGCUUUCCCAUCUACAGUCAAAAACAGACUAAGGUAUGAAAAAAAAAAAACAUAUUCAACUUAGAAACAGAACCUCCCACCCCCUGAAAAUCACCUGCAACCAUUUGUGUGGAAAGAAACACGCACAACGCAUCCCGUGGCGUAUGAACCUCAGCUUU
rnacentral:lncRNA from 1 species